GUCUCUCUGUCUCUCAAAAAUAAAACGUUAAAAAAAAAAGUUUAAAAAAAACAGUGAAUGGGCUCAGCCUGAAGGGCUGGUAAUGGGUUUUCUGGAAGGUCUGGUAAAAGAGUGGAGGCCAGAGUUAAAGACAACUCAGGCAGAGGAGCCGAAGGAACAAAGGGGACACUGACAGAGCAGCAUCUUUCACAGGCCUGCUAAAAACAGAAGGUCACCCUCCACACGGAUGCCUUCCCAACCCUCCCUGCUCAGGUCUUGACCCAGCAGUUACUGACACAGAAUAGGAACAAGAGGGUCUGGAGAGGGUAAGGGCCCCUAAGGCAUACUGCCCCUGCCCAUUAGAACAUCCUAUACCCAUGAUACAUGUACUUCCCUCACUUUGCUUUUAUGAAAGACCUACAUUACUACCUGUUUUCACUACCUGAAAGAAUUCCAAAGAGAAUUUUUGCUUUUACCAUCAAAAGGUGAAGAGUGAAAAUAGCAUUCAGCGUUUGUGUUGCAGUUAUAGAGGCAGGCCGCACCCCAAGCAGUAGCAGUGGCAGUGAGAGCGACCCCAACAAGUUCCUUCCCCAGGAACUACACUCAGCAUCUCAGCCUCCAGCCACCAGAGCUCUGAACUAUGUCUGUGAGCAUCUGUGCUCUAUCUCAAUUUAUUCUGUGCCUCCCUUAGCAAGAUGUGCCCUAAGGUAUCAGAAAAGCCUAAGAAGUUUUUUUUUUUUUGGGGGGGGACGGGGGGAAGGUGGGAACAUUCAAAAUAAUUUCUAGAAAUGGUAAUGUUUGCUUUAUGCUAUUUUUUUCUUCUUUGGCUUAUGAAAGUUUUCAUAGGAACACACUAGUUUUGGAUAGUGGAGAAAGCUGUACACCUUUUAUAAACCUCAUCCCAAGACUUGCUUUCUCAUUCUGUUCCCUGUGGGUUCCUCCUUCAGGAACAACCGCAGGCAGCACUGGGGCCCCAAAAUUGCACAGCCCAUCUUAAGAAGCGGGGAAACAGAAAAGAAGGGAAGAGAUUAAUCACUUCCAGAAAAAGUCCCAUGCCACCACAGCUUCCUUCUGGCAAGUUCUACAGGCUGGUAAAACAAGAGACUGAGUUACAUGUUGAGAAAGUGAAAAUUAGUUUGGCCUGAGACAAUGAAAAUCCACCAUGUCAUUCAUCAAGCUGGGAAAACAGACACAGAACACAGAUAAAGCCAGCUGCAAAAUUAGCAGAAAAUUCUAUUUCUCCCAAGGAAACACUGCAGCUGUAAAGUGUCCUAAUGACACUCAGUAGCAUGACUAUUACUUUGUUACUAAGAAAUCUUGCUUUCUAAAAUCAUAGUUUAUCAGAAACUUCAUUUUUGAAAUAAUUUCAGUAAGAACAACACAUCCUGCUGUUGCCUACAGGAUCUAAUUCACUUUGACACAGAGCAGCUGCCUUGAUAUCCAACCCAGGUACAGAUUCAAGAUAGGGGUUCGGGGGUAUAUCAUUCUACAUCUAUCUUAAUUUGUAGUUUCGAAGAAAAGGAGACCUUGUGUCCCAUUUCACCAUCCAGACCUGAUGUUAUCCCUUUUACAUACAGCCCUCCUUUGCUUUAACUUAUCAAAAUACUGUUUCAUAUCAAUUUCAGGGGCACCUGGGUGGCGGUUAAGCGUCUGACUUCAGCUCAGGUCAUGAUCUCACAAUUCGUGAGUUUGGGCCCUGCAUCAGGCUCUGUUCUGACAGCUCAGAGCCUGGAACCUGGUUUGGAUUCUGUGUCUUCUCUCUCUGCCCCUUUCCACUCGUUUUCUCUCUCUCUCUCUCUCUCACUCUCAAAAAUAAAUAAAUGUUUAAAAAAAAUAAAUUUCACCUAAAUGCCAUCCCUCCUUAAAACUGCAUCAUAAUUUUUCCCUUUCUUGGUGGCACAUGCCAUGGUUCCUCUGGUAUGUGACCUCCCAACAAGCCAAUAAACCUGACUUUGUCAACUAUAAGUUUGUUCCUGGUGUCCUGAUUAGGACACUUGGAGGUUCUCUUGAUACUCGGUCAAUACCCUCCCUACUAAGCUUUGGCCUCCUUAACUCAGUACUAAUGUGCAUAUCUGAGACUCCUUGAAUCUCAAGACAUUGAAGGUCUCUUUGUCUCUGAUUGUGUGAUUUUACACUGAAUUUAGAUUCCGAUAUCAAAGGACCAAAGAUACAACCAGUUUAAUAUUUGUCUGCUAGAAUUUUUGGUUUCUGGUCAGACCUGAGUGUCCCCUGGUGAAGUUUGACUUUUAACACCAUCUUCUGCCUUAUGUUUGUCCACCAGCCUCUGUUUGUCUAUGAGAACUUUCUCCAGUCUUCUCUGGGUAUGAGAAAUUGGCUUUGAAAGAUCUCUCCACACAGAGCCAGGUGGCUGCUGAUUUCCCAGGUCAGCAAGUAGAAGCAGCCUAACCUUAGGGCUGAGGACUUAAAACACAAGUGAUAUUUUACCUCUGAACAACAGUCAAAAAACCUUUCAUGGGCUUGUCUGCUAAUAAGUCUGUGCUAGCACAUGGCAUAACUUCACUGAGGAUAAAUUUGAAUUAUAGUGGCCACUAGGGGAACUUUGACAUGAACAGGAAUGUUCAUUUGAGAAAUGCCUAAGGCAAAAAGGGAACAGAAACUCUCAGGAGAUUGUAUAACUGGUCUAAAAGAGAGAGAUCACUGUGAUUAAUGUAGAUUUCCCCUCUGUUUCCAUUCUGUAGGGAUUAAUAAACACUGGCUUUUAAUUGUAUGGCUUGAUAAAAUUGUCAAGGGCUUGAGUUACUGUUUAAACCUAUAAUGACUUUCUCUUUUGGGUCUAUGUAUAUAUGAAACAGGUUUUCCUGCAUCUAAACUUUCUCCCUUCUCCUUACAGAGAAAAAAUAACCUUUUUUUUUUAAUAUUUAUUUAUUUUUUGAGAGAGAGACAGAGCGUGAGUGGGGGAGGAGCAGGGAGAGAGGGAGACACAGAAUCCAAAGCAGGCUCCAGGCUCUGCGCAAUCACCACAGAGCCCGACGCAGGGCUCAAACCCAGAAACCGUGAGAUCAUGACCUCAGCCGAAGUCACUUAACAGACUGAGCCACCCAGGUGCCCCGAAAAGAUAACCUUUUACAUUGAUAAUUUCAUAUUUGUCUAAAGCUACCUCUUACUUUUUUUUUAUUUAUUUAUGAGAGAGAGAGAGAGAGAGAGAGAGAGAGAGAGAGAGAGAGAGAGAAAGCAGGGGAGGGGCAGAGAGAGAGGAGAGAGAAAAAAUCCCAAGCAGGCUCCACACUGCCAUCAGGGAGCCCAAUGCAGGGCUCUAACUCACUAACCACAAGAUCAUGACCUGAGCAGAAGUCAAACAUUUAACCAACUGAGCCACCCAGGCACUCCACUCACUUUGUUGUUGGUCUGUCCCUCUGUUUUUCCCACACUUGGGAAUUUUUAAAGAUCAAUUGCUCAGAAAAAAAAAAACAUCAUGGUCAUUAUUUUGCAUACCAUAUAGUCAAAAAUGUCAAAGAAUAAAGAAAAUAAAAAUGUCAGUACACUAUUUUGCAUUAUAAAAUGUAGACAAAUGUAUUUAAAUAGUAGCCUUCAUUACUAUAGCUAUGAGAGAACUUAGCUUCAAUAUAAGAGCUUUUAAAUUUUUUUUUAAGUUUAUUUAUUUUUGACAGAGACAGAGUGCGAGCAUGAGCUGGGGAGGGGCAGAGAGAGAGGGAGACACAGAAUCCAAAACAGGCUCCAGGAUCCGAGCUGUCAGCACAGAGCCUGACGCGGGGCUCGAACUCACAAACUGUGAGAUCAUGACCUGGACCAAAGUCAGAUGCUCAACCGACUGAGCCACCCAGUUACUACGUCAGACCUCAAAGAAAGAAUGCAGUCAAACCUCCGUGAGAAGGACCUUACUAGGUACUGUUAACAACUAACACAACAGGGAACCCAUGCCUCCCAAGUCAAAAGGCAUAAGCCACACGAAAUCCCUGGGAGGCUGUCCUGAGACCUCACACAGAGAAAUCUGAGGAAUCAUUCCAGAACAGAUAACAGCAGGAAGUUGCACCUCCCACCCAAGAUCAUUGGGACCGCACUGGUAACCACAGGAAGUGCCACCUUCCCUCAAGAUCCACCAGACAAGACCACCAGAGCCACCCGCUGCGGCGCUUUAACCGGCACGUGCUUUUGCUCUUUUCCUUUGUUCUUUCUUCUCUGCAAAGUUAAGGUUUCAGUUGUUAACACUUCUUGUCUGUUAACCAGGAUACCUCCAAGGUCUUUAUCUUUAA